UGGGCGUUAACUGGUUGAUGAAAAUUAGAACUUAAGGCUAUGAAUUUACCUGUAAGGAAGACGGCAAACCUCGCGUGGACACGCUGAAUUUGCAGGUUUAGCAGACAUUUCAGUUUUGGACAAAUUCUCCCCGCCUCCAAGGGCAAAAGGAUAUGAUAAGUUUUCUGAAAAGUUCUCACUAUUCGAGACUGGCCUGAUGUGAAGAGAUUCCAGUGACAUAAGUGUCUCUGUUUACGCAAAGUCCUAUGCAUGCUGAAUUAAUUUACACUGACCGAUCUUAACAGGUGUGCUCUGCCACCUCAGCUUUCAUCUGCUUCUGUACUUACUCCUGAAGUUGAACCUUCCCUCUGAAGUGCUGUGUUAACUAAGCCCUGUGAGGGCCCCUUGGAGCCCUUCCUCCCUGACAGUCUCAGCUCUCGGUUCCGCUCCCUCUUUUCCUCCUGUACAAGUUCCUCUCCUAAGUGCAAGCCUUUCCCCAACUGCUAUUCUCGGCCAUCUUUUGAGAUCCCGUGCACAUCCACGAUUUCAGUUGUCUUCCUCCGGAGAAAGCAGUGCGGUCAAACAGAAGGUAACUGUCAGGUUGGAGACGAACAUUCCGGGUCAAAGCCCAGCUUCCUGACUUCCUCCUUGUCUGCCUGGGUCAGGUCUGGCAUCCUCUGUGCCUCAACUUCCACAUCAUUAAAGUGGGUUUGUACUGUCUACUUCCUAUGUGUGAACUUAUUUAGAGAUGGGACAGGUCAUCUGUCACAGGACUGUCCUAAUGACAGUCCUGUGACAGAUGACCUGUCCCAUCUAUAGAUUCCCCCAGUCCACCUCUGCAUUCCCACACUCCUUUUCCCCUCUCAUUACAACCUGCAGGCCCAUCUUUGAUACGGAAGGGCCUCCCGCAGGCCCCAAGUCUCUUCAUUUAAGGGAGUCUGCCUGUUUCUAGUCUAUUAUUUAAGAGUUAAAUUAAGGCUACAUGCUGGUCUCAAUUUUUCUGUCCUUAUAACUGGAGCAACCUAAUUUAUCAAUAAAUGUACAAAAACCCAUA